CCACUCUCCUGUGCUGACUGAAACGAAGUAUGACACCAGUCUUGCCCAGGCAAGCUGCUUCUUGUGAAUAGGAAGUGAACAACCCUGGAUUCCAGGCCAGGGGGAGAGAGGUGAGAGAUAUGAACUCAUCAGCAGAAAUGUGAGUUCUUCCCAGCUUCUCCGUGCUGAUACCCCAUGGUUCUCCUACCACCAGAUGCUACUGAGGCUAAACUGACUGGACUGAGGAAAAAUAUCUGUGGGGAAAACUUUCUUUCAGAAUCCAACUUUGAACCAGAGAAAUCCAUUCUCUUGAAGCUGUCUGCUGUGGAGAAGUUGGCCUUACCAAUCUGCCUUUGAAGUUCAAGUUAUACAGGAUCUGCGAGGCUACCUGUGAAUGAAUGGUUGGUUGGUCACUACUUGCAAGUUUUUCAGGAGCUCCUGAAAGAUUACUGCAUAAAUAAGGGAAGAUGGAGACCAGACCUCUGGCUACUGUUGCUGCCACCACUACAGAUACCACCUUCACCCUUAUGAACCCCCUAUUUACUGAACAUUCUCUAUAUGCCAGGUAACAUGCCCUGCACUUGUGAAAUAAGGACUGUUAUUUCCCCUAUUUUAUAAAAGAGGAGCUGAGGCUCAGAGAGAUUAUGUUACUUGCCCAAGAUCAGAUAGCUAGUAAGUGGCAGAGAUGAGAUUCUGUCUGAGUCCAGCUUACACCAUAACUGAUAUUCUUGACAAUCGGGCUGGAUAGAAAAGGAUAAGAUAUGAGAAUUUUGGUGCUAUGAUUUGAAUUUUCCUUCCAAAGCUCAUGUUGAAACUUAAUCCCCAAAGUAACAGUACUGAUAGGUGGGGUCUUUAACAUGGAGUCCCAGAAUUGGAUCGUGAGGGCUCUGCCCUGAUAAAUGAAUUAUUCCACUCAUGAUUAAUGGAUUAAUAGAUCAUCAUGGGAGUGGAACAGUGGCUUUAUAAGAAGAGGAAGAGAGACCUGAGGUAGAACACUCAGCGCCCUUGCCAUGUGAUGCUCUGUACUGCCUUGGGACUCUGCAGAGUCUCUCUACCAGCAAGAAGGUCCUCACCAGAUGCAGUCCCUUGACCUUGGCCUUCUUAGCUUCUACAACUGUCAUAAAUAAUUUUUUCUUUAUAAAUUACCCAGUUUUGGGAGUUCUAUUAUAAGCAAUAAAAACCAG
rnacentral:lncRNA from 1 species